AGUAACUGCGAGUGAAGCGGGAAAAGCUCAAAUUUAAAAUCUGGCGGUCCUUGGCCGUCCGAGUUGUAAUCUAGAGAAGUGUUAUCCGCGCUGGACCGUGUACAAGUCUCCUGGAAUGGAGCGUCAUAGAGGGUGAGAAUCCCGUCUUUGACACGGACUGCCAGGGCUUUGUGAUGCGCUCUCAAAGAGUCGAGUUGUUUGGGAAUGCAGCUCAAAAUGGGUGGUAAAUUCCAUCUAAAGCUAAAUAUUGGCGAGAGACCGAUAGCGAACAAGUACCGUGAGGGAAAGAUGAAAAGAACUUUGGAAAGAGAGUUAAACAGUACGUGAAAUUGCUGAAAGGGAAACGCUUGAAGUCAGUCGCGUUGGCCGGGGAUCAACCUUGCUUUUGCUGGGCGUACUUUCCGGUUGACGGGUCAGCAUCAAUUUUGACCGUUGGAUAAAGUUCAGGGGAAUGUGGCAUCUUCGGAUGUGUUAUAGCCCUUGKUCGCAUACAACGGUUGGGAUUGAGGAACUCAGCACGCCGCAAGGCCGGGUACUUGUACCACGUUCGUGCUUAGGAUGCUGGCAUAAUGGCUUUAAUCGACCCGUCUUGAAACACGGACCAAGGAGUCUAACAUGCCUGCGAGUGUUUGGGUGGAAAACUCGGACGCGUAAUGAAAGUGAAAGUUGAGAUCCCUGUCGUGGGGAGCAUCGACGCCCGGACCAGACCUUUUGUGACGGAUCCGCGGUAGAGCAUGUAUGUUGGGACCCGAAAGAUGGUGAACUAUGCCUGAAUAGGGUGAAGCCAGAGGAAACUCUGGUGGAGGCUCGUAGCGAUUCUGACGUGCAAAUCGAUCGUCAAAUUUGGGUAUAG
rnacentral:rRNA from 1 species